ACCUUCUUCGGAGGGUAUGCUUAAAGAGGGGCUUGCGUCACAUUAGUUAGUUGGUAGGGUAAUGGCCUACCAAGACGAUGAUGUGUAGCUGGACUGAGAGGUUGAACAGCCACAUUGGGACUGAGACACGGCCCAAACUCCUACGGGAGGCAGCAGUAGGGAAUUUUCGGCAAUGGAGGAAACUCUGACCGAGCAACGCCGCGUGAACGACGAAGUACUUCGGUAUGUAAAGUUCUUUUAUUGAAGAAGAAACAAUAGUGGAAAAACUAUCUUGACGUUAUUCAAUGAAUAAGCCCCGGCUAACUAUGUGCCAGCAGCCGCGGUAAUACAUAGGGGGCGAGCGUUAUCCGGAAUUAUUGGGCGUAAAGGGUGCGUAGGCGGUUUAAUAAGUCUCUAGUUUAAUUUCAACGCUUAACGUUGUCCUGCUAGAGAAACUGUUUGACUAGAGUGAGAUAGAGGUAAGCGGAAUUCCAUGUGUAGCGGUAAAAUGUGUAAAUAUAUGGAGGAACACCAGAGGCGUAGGCGGCUUACUGGGUCUUUACUGACGCUGAUGCACGAAAGCGUGGGGAGCAAACAGGAUUAGAUACCCUGGUAGUCCACGCCGUAAACUAUGAGUACUAAGUGUCGGGGUUAAACUCGGUACUGAAGUUAACACAUUAAGUACUCCGCCUGAGUAGUACGUACGCAAGUAUGAAACUUAAAGGAAUUGACGGGAUCCCGCACAAGCGGUGGAUCAUGUUGUUUAAUUCGAAGAUACACGAAAAACCUUACCAGGUCUUGACAUACUCUGCAAAACUAUAGAAAUAUAGUGGAGGUUAUCAGGGAUACAGGUGGUGCAUGGUUGUCGUCAGCUCGUGUCGUGAGAUGUUAGGUUAAGUUCUAAAACGAGCGCAACCCCUGUCGUUAAUUGCCAGCACGUUAUGGUGGGGACUUUAGCGAGACUGCCAAUGAAAAAUUGGAGGAAGGUGGGGAUUACGUCAAAUCAUCAUGCCCCUUAUGAUCUGGGCUACAAACGUGAUACAAUGGCUAUUACAAAGAGUAGCUUAAACGCGAGUUUUUGGCAAAUCUCAAAAAAAUAGUCUUAGUUCGGAUUGAAGUCUGCAACUCGACUUCAUGAAGUUGGAAUCGCUAGUAAUCGCGAAUCAGCAUGUCGCGGUGAAUCCUUGACGGUGGU
rnacentral:rRNA from 1 species